rnacentral:lncRNA from 1 species
UUUUGCACAAGAGAAAGCAAGUUAGGCAGGAAUAUGAAUUAAGUAGUGAAUCAUGUGCAGAUAAAAUAUAUUGCUGAAAAAUAUGUUGCAUGCAGAUGCAGAUGCAGAUGCAGAUAGCCUGCUAGGUACAUAAAUGUAAUUAUUAAUAUGUUUGCGUGUGUAUUCAGAUAUCAAAUUUGUUGUUUUCCUGAUGUAUAAUCAUCAUCCAUCAUGUGGCAUUGGCAGAUCCAGACUUGGCAACAGAAGCAGUCACCGUUGAUCACGCUUCAUUAUCUCCAUCAAAUAGAGGUCAACAUCAUCAUCUCUUUCUUUCUCGCUAUCCAAAUUAAAUUGUAAUUAAUUUAUGUCCACAUGAUUAAGCAGCCUUCUGUUCAGGUGUUGAAGCUUCUGCAGAUAGAACAAGUAAGUAGGUGGCUGCUCCUGCUAGGGAAUUUUGUCAUCCCUCCAAUUGGUAUAUUGAAAAAAGAAAUAGAGCAUAUCCAUUUUCUUAAUAAUGGAUACCACCAAAGUUAAUUACUAUUUCUUAAUAAUGGAGCAUGUCCAUUUUCUUCCUUGAUUUGAUUUACGUCUUUGAUAAUUUCCAAAUAAAAGAUUGAAGUCAUACUAGUUUUGUUGUUGAAAAUGAUACUUGGACUUUAUGAUUGUCU